rnacentral:rRNA from 1 species
UACGAAGGGGGCUAGCGUUGUUCGGAAUUACUGGGCGUAAAGCGCACGUAGGCGGAUAUUUAAGUCAGGGGUGAAAUCCCAGAGCUCAACUCUGGAACUGCCUUUGAUACUGGGUAUCUUGAGUAUGGAAGAGGUAAGUGGAAUUGCGAGUGUAGAGGUGAAAUUCGUAGAAUAUUCGCAGGAACACCAGUGGCGAAGGCGGCUUACUGGUCCAUAACUGACGCUGAGGUGCGAAAGCGUGGGAGCAAACAGG